rnacentral:rRNA from 1 species
UACGUAGGGUGCAAGCGUUAAUCGGAAUUACUGGGCGUAAAGCGUGCGCAGGCGGUUUUGUAAGUCUGUCGUGAAAGCCCCGGGCUCAACCUGGGAACUGCAUUUGUGACUGCAAGGCUAGAGUACGGCAGAGGGGGAUGGAAUUCCGCGUGUAGCAGUGAAAUGCGUAGAUAUGCGGAGGAACACCAAUGGCGAAGGCAAUCCCCUGGGCCUGUACUGACGCUCAUGCACGAAAGCGUGGGGAGCAAACAGG